UCCCUGGUGGCUCAGACGGUAAAGCGUCUGCCUACAAUGCGGGAGACCCGGGUUUGAUCCCUGGGUCGGGAA
rnacentral:tRNA from 1 species